UGGGGAAUAUUGCGCAAUGGGCGAAAGCCUGACGCAGCGACGCCGCGUGAGGGAAGAAGGCCUUCGGGUCGUAAACCUCUGUCUAGAGGGAAGAAACCAUUGAGGUCGAACAGGCCUCUUUGCUGACGGUACCUCUGAAGGAAGCACCGGCUAACUCCGUGCCAGCAGCCGCGGUAAUACGGAGGGUGCGAGCGUUAAUCGGAAUCACUGGGCGUAAAGCGCACGUAGGCGGUGUCGUAAGUCGGAUGUGAAAGCCCUCGGCUCAACCGGGGAACUGCAUUCGAUACUGCGAUGCUUGAGUGCCGGAGAGGGUGGCGGAAUUCCAGGUGUAGGAGUGAAAUCCGUAGAUAUCUGGAGGAACACCAGUGGCGAAGGCGGCCACCUGGCCGGCAACUGACGCUGAGGUGCGAAAGCGUGGGGAUCAAACA
rnacentral:rRNA from 1 species